rnacentral:rRNA from 1 species
GAUCCUGGCUCAGGAUGGACGCUGGCGGCGUGCCUAAUACAUGCAAGUAGAACGCUGAAGCUUGGUGCUUGCACCGAGCGGAAGAGUUGCGAACGGGUGAGUAACGCGUAGGUAACCUGCCUCUUAGCGGGGGAUAACUAUUGGAAACGAUAGCUAAUACCGCGUAAAAGUCGAUAUCGCAUGAUGUUGAUUUGAAAGGUGCAAUUGCAUCACUAAGAGAUGG